UGACCUAAAUACCCUUACCUAAUUUAGAGAAUUACACCAAAAACCUAAACCUUCUUCUCCUUCAUUCCUCGACACAGAGAGACGUUCUUCGGCACAGAGAGAAACGAGAUCUCUUCGUCGCCGGAUCUCUCACCGGCCGGAUCUCUCGCCGGAAUCCACUCCUCUUUGACCUUCUCACUCUACUCCACUCCUCUUUGAUCUCUUCGCCGGAUCUCUUCUUCUAUCUCUCGUGCGUGGGUUUAAGGUGUUACAGAUUGAAUUAGCUGCGGCCAUUGUUUGAGAGUCAUUGAAAUCUCAAAGUGGGUUUCAGGUGUUACGGAUUGAAAUCGCUGCAACCACUGUUUGAGAGGUCCCUCAUCUUCCAAUAUUGGCUCUGCUCCCUCAUCUUCUAAUAGGUCAAGGGCUAGUAAAAAAAGAUCAAGGUCUGUACAAGAAGGAGGAGAAGCUGUAGCAGAAGUGAUUAGGGAAAGUGUUCAGUCAUGGGAUAAUUUUAUCCGAGAUUCACAGCAAGAAGAUAGUGAUUUUAGACAUUGGGAAAUGGUGGAAUCAUAUGAGCAGCAUGGUGAUGAAAAUGAUGUGCAUGUUCCAUAUGUACCUUCUGGUGACAGAAUUAUGGAGGAUAUGCGGGAUUCUAUCACUACAGAGAUGGCUGAAGGAACAAGACUUCCAUAUUAACAGCUCCCGGUAUUUCAACGUUAUGAUUCUUGGUCCUACACAAUCACCUUAUGAAGGAGUUGGGUUUGAAUCGAGAAGCAAAUACUUGUUUGGUAAAGUCUCUAUCUAGAUUAAGCAAAUCGAGGAACAAAACCAAUCUCUUCUUGCUCUGUUUUAAGACACUACUUUGAUUAUUAUGUCUCUAAUCUUACAUUAUGAAUGUUGUAUUUCACUAAAGUAGUGACGUUGGUUGUUUGGUUGGUUUUAUAAGUCUAGUUAAAUGCAUGGGUAUUUUAGUCA